CCUACGUGUGGCAGCAGUGAGGAAUAUUGGUCAAUGGACUUACGCCUGAACCAGCCAAGUCGCGUGAGGGAAGACUGCCCUAUGGGUUGUAAACCUCUUUUGUCAGGGAGCAACGCCGGCUACGUGUAGCCGGACUGAGAGUACCUGAAGAAAAAGCAUCGGCUAACUCCGUGCCAGCAGCCGCGGUAAUACGGAGGAUGCGAGCGUUAUCCGGAUUUAUUGGGUUUAAAGGGUGCGUAGGCGGAAUAUCAAGUCAGCGGUAAAAAUUCGGGGCUCAACCCCGUCGUGCCGUUGAAACUGAUGUUCUUGAGUGGGCGAGAAGUAUGCGGAAUGCGUGGUGUAGCGGUGAAAUGCAUAGAUAUCACGCAGAACUCCGAUUGCGAAGGCAGCAUACCGGCGCCCAACUGACGCUGAAGCACGAAAGCGUGGGUAUCGAACAGGAUUAGAUACCCGAGUAGUC
rnacentral:rRNA from 1 species